rnacentral:rRNA from 1 species
AUCAGCAGCCGCGGGAAUACGGAGGGUGCAAGCGUUAAUCGGAAUUACUGGGCGUAAAGCGCACGCAGGCGGUUUGUUAAGUCAGAUGUGAAAUCCCCGGGCUCAACCUGGGAACUGCAUUUGAAACUGGCAAGCUAGAGUCUCGUAGAGGGGGGUAGAAUUCCAGGUGUAGCGGUGAAAUGCGUAGAGAUCUGGAGGAAUACCGGUGGCGAAGGCGGCCCCCUGGACGAAGACUGACGCUCAGGUGCGAAAGCGUGGGGAGCAAACAGGAUUAGAUACCCGAGUAGUCCCUGUCUCUUAUAC